rnacentral:rRNA from 1 species
UGUCAAGGCCAAAUCUAGUUAAGCAAAACUGGGCCAGGUUAGUACUUGGAUGGUAGACCGCUGGGAAUACCAGGUGCCACAG